rnacentral:rRNA from 1 species
GACGAACGCUGGCGGCGUGCUUAACACAUGCAAGUCGAACGAAGUGGCGCACGGGUGAGUAAUACGUGGGGAACCUGCCCUCCUUUAUGGGAUAAGCCAUGGAAACGGGUGCUAACACCGACAAUAGGUGGUGGGGCUAGCGGCUUAUCAGCUUGUUGGUGGGGUGAUGGCCUACCAGGGCGGUGACGGGUAGCCGGCCUGGGAUGGUGACCGGCCACCUUGGGACUGAGAUACGGCCCAGACUCCUACGGGAGGCAGCAGUGGGGGAUAUUGGACAAUGGGCGAAAGCCUGAUGCAGCGACGCCGCGUGUGGGAUGAAGGCUUUCGGGUUGUAAAGUACUUUCAGUCGGGAGGCGUUACCGACAGAAGAAGCACCGGCUAACUCCGUGCCAGCAGCCGCGGUAAUAC